UACAGUGGCCAGAGCUCCCUGGCUCUGGCUAGAAGUAGAACUACAUAGAGAAGCGGGGUGUGAGGCUCCUGGGCUCGAGAGGACCAGGAGUGGCAGCCUGCUUCGAGGGUCAGCCUGCAUUUGACCCCUCUCAUCUCAUUCGCCCACUCCUGAAGCUGGACCUAGCUCUGCACAGCUAUGGCUAUUUGCUGUGAACAAGCUGACUGUCUCUUGCCCUCUGAGUACCCUAUCCUGAGAGCAGGCCUGGAGCAGCCGGGCUCGCCUGUCCUGUAUCCUCCGUCUCCCAUAGCUACUUCCUAGCCUGGGCUGCGAAGUGGAUUCCAGGCCACUCUGGGCUACAGAAUGAGACCCUCUGACAAGAAACAAACGCUCACCCAUACUUGGAUUCUUCAUGGGGUGAGUGUUUGCUGUGGGUUUAUGCUUGAUGACAGCUGGAAGUCACCCAAUGACCCUGAGAUGAAACUGGGCUGUCCUCUGCUCUCGUGCACAUGUUCCAAGAAACCAGUCUAAAGCUUCGUGUCUGGACAUUAGAUGUGUUUAUUUUAAAAACUUGACAAUAUCUUUUGUCAACACAAAUGAUGUUUAUAUUUCAGAACUAAAAUACGCUCCAGAAAUAAAAGUAGCCCCAAAUCA